CCGACCGGCGCACGGGUGAGUAACGCGUAUCCAACCUGCCCACCACUUGGGGAUAACCUUGCGAAAGUAAGACUAAUACCCAAUGAUAUCUCUAGAAGACAUCUGAAAGAGAUUAAAGAUUUAUCGGUGAUGGAUGGGGAUGCGUCUGAUUAGCUUGUUGGCGGGGUAACGGCCCACCAAGGCAACGAUCAGUAGGGGUUCUGAGAGGAAGGUCCCCCACAUUGGAACUGAGACACGGUCCAA
rnacentral:rRNA from 1 species